AUUGAACGCUGGCGGCAGGCCUAACACAUGCAAGUCGAACGAGUGGCGGACGGGUGAGUAAUGUCUGGGAAACUGCCUGAUGGAGGGGGAUAACUACUGGAAACGGUAGCUAAUACCGCAUACCAUCAGAUGUGCGCAGAUGGGAUUAGUUAGUUGGAGGGGUAACGCCUCACCAAGGAGAAGCUCCCUAGCUGGUCUGAGAGGAUGACCAGCGACACUGGAACUGAGACAAGGACCAGACUCGUACGGGAGUCAGCAGGGGGGAAUAUUGAACAAUGGGCGCAAGCCUGAUGCAGCCAUGCCGAGUGUAUGAAGAAGGCCUUCGGGUUGUAAAGUACUUUCAGCGGGGAGGCGUUACCCGCAGAAGAAGCACCGGCUAACUCCGUGCCAGCCGCCGCGGUAAUAC
rnacentral:rRNA from 1 species